rnacentral:rRNA from 1 species
GAGUUUGAUCCUGGCUCAGAACGAACGCUGGCGGCAGGCCUAACACAUGCAAGUCGAGCGCUACCUUCGGGUGGAGCGGCGGACGGGUUAGUAACGCGUGGGAAUAUACCCUUCACUAUGGAAUAGCCUCGGGAAACUGAGAGUAAUACCAUAUACGCCCUUCGGGGGAAAGAUUUAUCGGUGAAGGAUUAGCCCGCGUAAGAUUAGAUAGUUGGUGGGGUAAUGGCCUACCAAGUCUACGAUCUUUAGCUGGUUUUAGAGGAUGAUCAGCAACACUGGGACUGAGACACGGCCCAGACUCCUACGGGAGGCAGCAGUGGGGAAUCUUAGACAAUGGGCGCAAGCCUGAUCUAGCCAUGCCGCGUGAGUGAUGAAGGUCUUAGGAUCGUAAAGCUCUUUCGCUAGGGAUGAUAAUGACAGUACCUAGUAAAGAAGCCCCGGCUAACUCCGUGCCAGCAGCCGCGGUAAUACGGAGGGGGCUAGCGUUGUUCGGAAUUACUGGGCGUAAAGCGUACGUAGGCGGAUCAGAAAGUAUGGGGUGAAAUCCCAGGGCUUAACCCCUGGAACUGCCUCAUAAACUCCUGGUCUUGAGUUCGAGAGAGUGAGUGGAUCCAGUGUACAGGUGAAAR